rnacentral:rRNA from 1 species
UACGGGGGGGGCAAGCGUUGUUCGGAAUUACUGGGCGUAAAGGCUCGUAGGCGGCCAACUAAGUCGGACGUGAAAUCCCCAGGCUCAACCUGGGAACUGCGUCCGAUACUGGAUGGCUUGAAUUCGGGAGAGGGAUGCAGAAUUCCAGGUGUAGCGGUGAAAUGCGUAGAUAUCUGGAGGAAUACCGGUGGCGAAGGCGGCAUCCUGGACCGACAUUGACGCUGAUGAGCGAAAGCCAGGGGAGCAAACGGG